GAUGAACGCUGGCGGCGUGCUUAACACAUGCAAGUCGAGCGAUGAAGUUUCCUUCGGGAAACGGAUUAGCGGCGGACGGGUGAGUAACACGUGGGUAACCUGCCUCGUAGAGUGGAAUAGCCUUUCGAAAGGAAGAUUAAUACCGCAUAAUGUUGAAAGAUGGCAUCAUCAUUUGACCAAAGGAGCAAUCCGCUAUGAGAUGGACCCGCGGCGCAUUAGCUAGUUGGUGGGGUAACGGCCUACCAAGGCGACGAUGCGUAGCCGACCUGAGAGGGUGAUCGGCCACAUUGGGACUGAGACACGGCCCAGACUCCUACGGGAGGCAGCAGUGGGGAAUAUUGCACAAUGGGGGAAACCCUGAUGCAGCAACGCCGCGUGAGUGAUGAAGGUUUUCGGAUCGUAAAGCUCUGUCUUUGGGGAAGAUAAUGACGGUACCCAAGGAGGAAGCCACGGCUAACUACGUGCCAGCCGCCGCCGUAA
rnacentral:rRNA from 1 species